rnacentral:rRNA from 1 species
UACGUAGGUGGCAAGCGUUGUCCGGAUUUACUGGGUGUAAAGGGCGUGUAGGCGGGGAAGCAAGUCAGAUGUGAAAUCCCAGGGCUUAACUCUGGAGCUGCAUCUGAAACUGUUUUUCUUGAGUGCUGGAGAGGAAAGUGGAAUUCCCAGUGUAGCGGUGAAAUGCGUAGAGAUUGGGAGGAACACCAGUGGCGAAGGUGGCUUUCGGGACAGUAACUGACUAUGAGGCGCGAAAGCGUGGGGAGCAAACAGG